rnacentral:rRNA from 1 species
AAGUCGUGCGAGAAAGUUCCUUCGGGAAUGAGUAGAGCGGCGAACGGGUGAGUAACACGUAAGUAACCUGCCUCUAAGUCGGGGAUAACCUUGCUAACGCGGGGCUAAUACCGGGUGUGGUCCUGAUUCCGCAUGGUUUCAGGAUUAAAGGUGACCUCUUCUUGAAAGUUACUGCUUAGAGAUGGGCUUGCGCCCCAUUAGCUUGUUGGUGAGGUAACGGCUCACCAAGGCGUCGAUGGGUAGCCGACCUGAGAGGGUGAUCGGCCACAUUGGGACUGAGAUACGGCCCAGACUCCUACGGGAGGCAGCAGUAGGGAAUAUUGCGCAAUGGACGAAAGUCUGACACAGCAACUCCGCGUGAGGGAUGAAGGUCCUCGGAUC